rnacentral:rRNA from 1 species
UCGAGCGCACCUUCGGGUGAGCGGCGGACGGGUUAGUAACGCGUGGGAACGUACCCUUUUCUACGGAAUAGCCAUUGGAAACGAUGAGUAAUACCGUAUACGCCCUUCGGGGGAAAGAUUUAUCGGAGAAGGAUCGGCCCGCGUUAGAUUAGAUAGUUGGUGGGGUAAUGGCCUACCAAGUCUACGAUCUAUAGCUGGUUUUAGAGGAUGAUCAGCAACACUGGGACUGAGACACGGCCCAGACUCCUACGGGAGGCAGCAGUGGGGAAUCUUAGACAAUGGGCGCAAGCCUGAUCUAGCCAUGCCGCGUGAGUGAUGAAGGCCUUAGGGUCGUAAAGCUCUUUCGCCAGGGAUGAUAAUGACAGUACCUGGUAAAGAAACCCCGGCUAACUCCGUGCCAGCAGCCGCGGUAAUACGGAGGGGGUUAGCGUUGUUCGGAAUUACUGGGCGUAAAGCGUACGUAGGCGGAUUAGAAAGUUAGGGGUGAAAUCCCAGGGCUCAACCCUGGAACUGCCUCUAAAACUACUAGUCUAGAGUUCGAGAGAGGUGAGUGGAACUCCGAGUGUAGAGGUGAAAUUCGUAGAUAUUCGGAAGAACACCAGUGGCGAAGGCGGCUCACUGGCUCGAUACUGACGCUGAGGUACGAAAGUGUGGGGAGCAAACAGGAUUA